rnacentral:rRNA from 1 species
ACGAACGCUGGCGGCGUGCCUAACACAUGCAAGUCGAACGGGGGUAGCAAUACCCCAGUGGCGAACGGGUGCGUAACACGUGAGGAACAUUCCUUCCGGUGGGGGAUAGCCGGCCUAACGGCCGGGUAAUACCGCAUACGCUGUUCGGGGUGCAUACCCUGGAUCGGAAAGCAGCAAUGCGCCGGAAAGGUGCCUCGCGGCCUAUCAGCUAGUUGGUGAGGUAAUGGCUCACCAAGGCGACGACGGGUAGCUGGUCUGAGAGGAUGGCCAGCCACAUUGGGACUGAGACACGGCCCAGACUCCUACGGGAGGCAGCAGUGGGGAAUCUUGCGCAAUGGGCGAAAGCCUGACGCAGCGACGCCGCGUGUGGGAUGACGGCCUUCGGGUUGUAAACCACUGUCGCGAGGGACGAAGAUCUGACGGUACCUCGAAAGGAAGCACCGGCUAACUCUGU